rnacentral:rRNA from 1 species
GACGAACGCUGGCGGCGUGCUUAACACAUGCAAGUCGAACGGAAAGGCCCUGCUUUUGUGGGGUGCUCGAGUGGCGAACGGGUGAGUAACGCGGGAGUAACCUGCCCUGGACGUUGGGAUAACUUGAGGAAACUGGGGCUAAUACCGGAUAGGAGCUGCUGCUGGAGGGUGGGGGUUGGAAAGUUUAGGCGGUAUGGGAUGGACUCGGGGCUUAUCAGCUUGUUGGUGGGGUAGUGGCUUACCAAGGCUUUGACGGGUAGCCGGCCUGAGAGGGUGACCGGCCACAUUGGUACUGCGAUAGGGCCCAGACUCCUACGGUAGGCAGCAGUGGGGAGUAUUGCACAAUGGGGCGAAGCCUGAUGCAGCAACGCCGCGUGCGGGAUGCCGGCCUUCGGGUUGUAAACCGCUUUCGCCUGUGACGAAGCGUGAGUGACGGUAAUGGGUAAAGAAGCACCGGCUAACUACGUG